AAACUGGUUGAGUUUGAAUAUAUGAGGUUUAUAUUUUUAUUAACGGUUUGUGAGUAACAUUUUGUAUUUUUCUGCUUUACUCCUUGUGUUUGUUUUAAUAGUCCUGAAAUUUAAUCAUUUCUUUGUUUCUUAUUGAUAUAAUUGAAGGGAUGAUUGAAAAAUUGUGUUUUGGUAAUCAUCAACAACCUCCACCUCCACCUCAACAUAACCAUCCGCACAAGCAUCACUUUCACCAUCAUCUACCACAUAAAAACCACCAUUAUUUACAACAACAAAAUACAGCCAAAUGUGUUCAUCUUCAUCAAGUUAAAGCUCAUGGAUACCCAAAUAACACAUCUUCCUUCAAGGAUGAUCAGGAGAUUUUAAGAUCUUAUAUACAACCGCCACCGAAUAAAACUGUAUUUAAUUGUUGUUGUCAUUAUUUGAACUGUGAUAGUAGUGGUAAAUUCAGCUGAUGACAACCUUCUUUUUCAAUUAUAUAUUAUAUUUAUUGUUAUUAUUAUCAUCGAUUAUUAUCAUAAAUUGAAUCAACCAACUUCUUUUUCAUUUACUCUGAAUAUGAAUAUUGACAAAUCCAGAUUUCUCCUCUUAUUUUCAUACAUUGGCACAAAAUACAGCGGAGUUCAAAGACAAACGACCAGGAAACCAAAGAACCAGGUAAACCCAACGGACAAUACUGUUCAAUAUUACAUUGAGGAAGCCUUGGAAACCAUAAAUCCAAAACCAAGCCAAGAAGCAAAAGUUUCGCUUAGCAGCAGAACAGACAAAGGUGUCCAUGCUUUCGAGAACUCAGCUGUGAUUAAAAUUGUCCAUCCAAACUCAACAGAAUCUUAUUAUCCUAAUCAAAUCAUUGAAACAGCCAAUACAUAUUUCAAGACUCAUAACCAUGAUAUUAAGUUUAACAAAAUUCACCUCGUAUCCCCAGAGUUUCACUUUCGUAAACAUAUUAAGCAGCGAUCCUAUUAUUAUCGUUUAGCUGUUGUCAAACCUGAAAUUGCAAAUCAAGCCUUCUUUCAACCAGAAAGUUAUUUACCCAUCAAUGAGCUGAAUCGCUGUAGUUUACUACGAACACCGAUUAACCUUGAUUUAGAUUUGAUGAAAGAAACAGUUCAAUCAUUCAUAGGAACCCAUGAUUUUACCAAUUUUGCUGCUUUCUCGAAAAGCCUUACUUACUACUAUGACGGUUACUUUACCCGAACAAUUGAUCAAUUGACCUUAACCCAAUGCGAUAUGGAACCUUUGGAAGCAAUCGAUCCUUCUUAUCGUAACAUAAACCUUUAUGAAUUCAAAAUAACGUCCAGAGCUUUCCUCUAUCGACAGAUACGUAGGAUGAUUGGUUCAAUCAUCAUGGUUGGCUCACGAGCUUUUCCCAUUGAACACUUUAAACUAAUGUUGGAUGAACCAGAAAAACAUAAAUGGGUUAACCAUUACUUCAUGGCUCCAGCUGAUGGUCUUUAUUUAGCUGAAAUUAAAUAUGAUCCUAAAGACUUUUUGAAUCCAACCAAUGUCAAGCAAUUGUAUUACUCGGGAAAUUUAGGACCAGUGCCUGUCAAUGAUGAAAAGGAAUCUGAUGAUGGUUUCGAUGAAAAGGAGGUUGAAGAAGAUUUCGAUGAAGAUCAACAGCAAUUUAAUGAUGAUAAACAAGAUGAAACUUUCAAAUUUUUUUAGAUUAAAUCUUGCGCUGUAAGAUUAGUCUCCACUGUUAAUUACUAGAUGUCACUAGAGGUUUUUGUUAUGAAAAUUUUGUAUUGAAUGGUUUAAAAGUUUUUCAAAUAAUGAUUUUCCGAUCAACCAUACAUUUUAUUUAUUGUCUAACAUAUUUUAAUAGUGAUUGAACUUCGAUUGUGUGUUCUGUUUACUGCUGUUUCCAUGUAAUGGAUGCGAUUGAAGGAAUCGAGUUGAAAGGUUCAUAUCUUUCCUUUUUGGUUACAAACAAAGUGAUAUUUUGACAUGUUUUGAUUGCCAAACAUGUAGUUAGAGGCUUUUGACAGAUCAGAAGUGAACGAUCAAUGCUCAUAAUGGUUCAGAUUUUGCGGCUGGACGGCUGCUUGAGCUGCCAAAGCUUCUAAAUGGUGGAGGUGCAUUUGAUGUCAAUAUAACUGUCCUUAUGGCUCAUUAUUUUAUCCUGAAAAAUAGCCUCUUGUUGAUUCAUCUAAAAUAGGAUCUGCGAUAUAAAUAAUUUUUCAGCCGAUGCAAGAAAUGUUUUGCAUAAUCUGUGACAUCUACAGGGUUAAAUUACCAUUUUUCCAGGUAGAUCGGAUAUCGGUUUAAAUUAACCUACUUACAGAUUCAAUCAAUCGAUUUGUAUUUUAAGCGUCAACUACAUUUUUUAAAUUUUAUGCUCUAUCAAAGAGGCUCUCAAAUUAAGCUCUAUCAAAAAGGGCUGCGUUUUCUGACACGGCAUACAAAACUUGUCGUGAAUGGAAAUCGAUAUAUGUAUAAAUAAACUGGUAUUUUAGUUUCACAA